rfam:Ictidomys tridecemlineatus contig023753, whole genome shotgun sequence.
UGGAAUAUAGUUCAGUGGUAGAGCAUUUGUCUAAUAUGUAUAAGUCCCUGGGUUUAAUCCCCAGUACCAC